GAGAAUACGUCUAAUACCGCGUAACAACCCGAGGAGGCAUCUCCUCGGGUUUAAAGGAAGCGAUUCCGGCUACGGAUGGUCAUGCGUCGCAUUAGCUAGUUGGCGGGGUAACGGCCCACCAAGGCGACGAUGCGUAGGGGUUCUGAGAGGAAGGUCCCCCACACUGGUACUGAGACACGGACCAGACUCCUACGGGAGGCAGCAG
rnacentral:rRNA from 1 species